UACGUAGGUGGCAAGCGUUGUCCGGAAUUAUUGGGCGUAAAGCGCGCGCAGGUGGUUCCUUAAGUCUGAUGUGAAAGCCCACGGCUCAACCGUGGAGGGUCAUUGGAAACUGGGGAACUUGAGUGCAGAAGAGGAAAGUGGAAUUCCAGGUGUAGCGGUGAAAUGCGUAGAUAUCUGGAGGAACACCGGUGGCGAAGGCGGCAUCCUGGACCAACACUGACACUGAGGAGCGAAAGCCAGGGGAGCAAACGGG
rnacentral:rRNA from 1 species